ACCGGAAUCGACAGCAGGACAUGUUGAUAUACCUGCAUGCCGAGGAUUGCAUGUUUUCCUCGAUAAUCCAAAUGUGCGAUUUUUUCUUUUAGAUGGCGAGUCUGACUACGCCAUGGCUGCGUAAGACAAGGUCUUAACCAGCCAUUGUUCCUCACGUGGCUUUACCUGGUAGGCCGGUGAUGGAACAUCAGAAAUACCGGGUUAGCCGGCGUAUUUCCUCCGCUGCUCCGGUGAAACUUGAGGAGGUAAGGGAAUUGUAGGUUGGUUGCCUGACCGGCAAUUCCCCGACAAUCAACAGGUAACUAAGCAUGUAGACGGUAUAUCAGCAUCCUGGCUGGACGAGGGUUCAAGAUUCGGACCCACU
rnacentral:tmRNA from 1 species